CAGUUACCAUGGUGAUCUACCCCGGUAAGAAGUCAACCAGUUUCGUAGUACGGAAAACCCUGAAGUUACCUCGACAAUGCUAAAUCCUGCUUCGUAGUACAGGCCUCAGGAGGACUUGGAGGAGAACACAAGACAAGAGGCUCAGCAGACGGUAAAAGAUUGAGAUGAGCAGGAGGAAACAGUCCUGCAGACCGCUGAAAACUCUCUGAAGAAAGCUGAGGUCCAUUACUCCCUCUCAAGGGAGCUGGAGUUCUUCCUCACCAAUGCAAGGAGCACCAAAACCUGGGUCAACUCUCAUCCUACCAACAUAUUUAACAUACAAGAAUUAUGGAACAGGGACCCCAAGAAUAAACUACUAUUGCCGUCAGACGUCCGUAGUGCCUCCACUGUGGCUCAAGUUCUGUGGACAUGACUGAGGCCAAUGCGCUACGUGAGGUUGAAGGAACAACGGUGGGGAUCUGUGUUUUCAGAGAGACUCCCAGCAUUGACUAUUCUGAUGUCGGAGUAAUCCUCGAGGGUGUGGUGGUGUUUCACGGCCCUUGCAUCUGCAAUGCUGUUUGGACUCAUUUACACCGUCAACAUGAAGUACCCUUCGAAGCUCCGCUACACCUUAGAAGUUAUUCAGAAGGUUAUAAUGGAGAUGGAUGCGUCUGACUUUUCAAGAAAGGCCCAAAGCUUGAAAAGUAAAAUACACGAGUGAGGAGAGCUCACUGUCCAAGUUCAUGACUCACUGUUUCUGUAGUUGAGGUAGAUGCAGAGUCUACAUUCCUGGACUGAGUGGUGUAGCUGGUUCUGACCAUUUUUAGUGGACUAAACAAUUUGUAUGGCACUUUUUACAUUUUCACUUCUCAAAUGGGAGAUGGGAUGUCUUGGAAAGAGUUGAGCAGUUCCAUUGAUGUCAGUUGUAAUUGCUGUAUAACAGUAGUAAAUAGGUCUCCAGAUUCUGGAAUAAAGGCUUUGAAACAAAACUUUACAAUUGUUUUCA